rnacentral:rRNA from 1 species
AACGAACGCUGGCGGCGUGGAUAAGACACGCAAGUCGGACGAGAUUUUUCGUUGUAGCAAUACGAUGGAAAGUCUAGUGGCGAACGGGUGCUUAACACGUGGGCAAUCUGUCUUAAAGUGGGGGAUAGCUCGGCGAAAGCCGAAUUAAUACCUCAUGUGAUUAGAGUGGACAUCCAUUCGAAAUUAAAGCCGGGGCAACCUGGCGCUUUUUGAGGAGCCCGCGGCCUAUCAGCUUGUUGGUGAGGUAACGGCUCACCAAGGCUUUGACGGGUAGCUGGUCUGAGAGGACGACCAGCCACACUGGGACUGAGACACGGCCCAGACACCUACGGGUGGCAGCAGUCGAGAAUUUUUCUCAAUGGGGGAAACCCUGAAGGAGCGACGCCGCGUGGAGGAUGAAGGUCUUCGGAUUGUAAACUCCUGUCAUUGGGGAACAAGUCGCUUACGUUAACUGCGUGAGCGUUGAUAGUACCCGAAGAGGAAGAGACGGCUAACUCUGUGCCAGCAGCCGCCGCCG